GGCUGGUCCAGGUGCAGUGAUGUUUACAACCAACUGAUCACAACCACUUAACAGAUUUCUGUGUUCCUUCUUCACUCCCACUGCUUCACUUGAUUAGCCUUAA
ensembl:Y_RNA Y_RNA Y RNA